ACAGGUUUCCGUAGGUGACCUGCGGAAGGAUCAUUGUCGAGACUGAAAUAUAUUGAGCGAUCUUGAGAACCCGUCAAAAUAAGCGAUGGCUAUAGUUGUCGAGAUAAAAUUCAUCCCAGUCGUCAUGUCAUCCUCUUUUGCGGGGUUGGGGACAUGAUGAAGGAUGGAUGAACCCACAAAUCGGCGCAGCAUCGCGCCAAGGAAAUAAUGAAAUACGAGCCCUAAAAUGGGUUUUAUGAAAUGGGGUGUUGUUGCAUUCCAUAUGAUUGACAUGACUCUCGGCAAUGGAUAUCUCGGCUCUCGCAUCGAUGAAGAGCGCAGCGAAAUGCGAUAUGUGGUGCGAAUUGCAGAAUCCCGCGAACCAUCGAGUCUUUGAACGCAAGUUGCGCCCGAGGCCAACCGGCCAAGGGCACGUCCGCCUGGGCGUCAGUCAUUUUAUCGCUCUGUGCCAAGCUACCCAUCGAUUGAUGUGUUGGCGAAGGCUUGGAUGUGCAUUAUGGCUCAUCGUGCCCCUGGGCGCGGCGGGCUGAAGAGCGGGUCAUCAUCUCGUUGGCUGCGAACAAUAAGGGGUGGACUGAAGGGAGACCUAUGCUAUUGUGUCGUGCAUGCCUAAGAGUUGAUCAUACCUUUGAGGAGAUCCCAAAUCAUGCGUCGAUCUAU
rnacentral:rRNA from 1 species